GUGUGUGUGUGUGUGAGAGAGAGUGGGAUAGAGGGGCGCUGUGUCAAAUCACAGAAACCAUCAUCUUGACCAGACACUCAAGAAGUAAAAUAUGUUAUAUUGCAAAGCCUUUGCAAAGAUGGGGGACGACAAGCCUUUUGUGUGCAGUGCUCCUGGCUGUGGGCAGGUAAGUUCACUUUCACUUGGCUCUGCUUUUAUGGUUCAUAGGGCAUUCUCUGGUUAUUGAAGAGUCGUCCUCUCAGCUGCACGGUAGCCAGACGUCUGCCCGGCGUGUGUGUGAAGGGAGGUGCGCCAACUUCACCGCUUUGAGAAUGUGUUGUUUUUGUCACACUGCAGCCCUGGGCCAAACCGAUGAAGCUGAUAGCGCGCUUGUGAAACUGCGCUAACGUCUCUAGCGCUGUCUGACUCACUCACAAACUUGGCCAAUGAGUAAUCGCAGCUCAGUUAUCGUCUGCACUUGUCUGGUUUGAGUCAAAGUCCACGCAGACGCUGCGAUGAUGUUAUUUAUGCUAAUAAGUGCAUUUAUGAUGAACUUGCAGACGAAGCAGUUUGAGAGUGAGUGCACUGCAAAACAAUCAUUUAAUCUCUUGUUUUUCUUCCAGUAAAAAUAUCACUAAAACAAAAAAGGACCUUAAAAGCAAAAUUGCGUAAUGUAGUAAAACUGU